rnacentral:rRNA from 1 species
GGUCUGCAACUCGACCACACGAAGCUGGAAUCGCUAGUAAUCGCGAAUCAGCAUGUCGCGGUGAAUACGUUCCCGGGUCUUGUACACACCGCCCGUCACACCGCGGGAGUCAGCAACGCCCGAAGUCAGUGACCUAACCGAGAGGAAGGAGCUGCCGAAGGCGGGGCAGGUAACUGGGGUGAAGUCGUAACAAGGUAGC